rnacentral:lncRNA from 1 species
AUGGCGAAUUUGAUUGAAUUCCAGCCUAAGUCUGCUUUCUGUCGUCCCCAUCAGGCUAAAGUGGUGACCUUCACUACCAUGACCCGCAAGGCUGCAGCCUCCCAGACCAGCCUCACCCUCAGCAGGGGAAAGAGAAGCUACCCAGACCUACACACCUUUGUGCAGGACAUGAAGGAUGGCUGUUCAAGACAAAGGGGGAACCAAAGAGCCACCCUGAACAGGAUUCUCUGCCUACCAAACGUCUCAGAGAGACUCGUAUUUCACAGGGUAAGUGAUAAGCAUCGAUAAUGUCAUAUUGAUGUAUCACCCUAUGGCCAGCUUGUUAAAACGGUGACUACAGAUACAGGCGGACAGACAGAUACACACAUUCAUUUUCUGAUUAUGAAAUAUUAUUUUCACAGAUGCUGAGUGUGAGGUUCCAUCCACUUCCCCACCCAAAGAGGACCUGACAACCACACUGGCCCCUGCUCCCCAGGAGUCCCAGUCCCGUAAACGCCCUCUCAUAGUCAGGGUGUUACGAGCUAUCUCCAGAGCCGUCUCCAAACCAUUCAGAGAAGCUUUUGGGAAGAAGAAUUAGCCAAAUGCCAGAUUUUAUUACUAUUUUAAUCAGAGCCUUUAUUUAAUAAAACAUUACUGCAUUGAUUUCUGUCUAUAGUCGUCUUACUGUUUGUGCAAGAUAAUGGUACUUCAAACCACAUGGUCAAACGUAGUUAUAGUGAAGCACUGUUUAUGAUUAUUGAUUGUGGAAAUCACAUUUUAAUACAGAAAAGAUGUCGUCACAUAAAGACAGACAUAUAGGAGAAAACUCUGUCGACUAUUCACAUGAUCAAGACACAACUAAAGCCAUGAAUGGAUCAUAUUAUUAUUAUUAUACCUUGAUUUCAACAAGGAACACAGACAGACCAAGGUUUAUUUUACAGCUGGGCCCUGCGUAGACAUGUUACACAUUCAGUUUAGCUACAAUGAUUAAGAAACUACACAAGACAAACAAGACCAUCACAGAUAACACAAAAAUACAGCAGCAGAUUAUUACGUUUGCACACAGGUUAUUCCCCUAACAGCACAAUAACUUGCAUUACCCGAAAGUUACAAGCAAUACAGAAAUAAAAAUCCUCCAAUAAUUAUUUAAAAUGGGCAACAGGGGGACAAGAGUCUCAAAUUUAAGUUUAGUCUGCAGGCUUUUCCAUUGGCAAGGAGCGUAACAGGAAAAGGCAGCCAUACCCAACUCUGUGGAAAUCGCAUGGACCUCAAGUGUAAUCCAUGCUUGAGACCUGGUUUUAGGAAUUCUAAUUCUAAUAUUGAUGAGUGAUGAUAAAUAAGAUGGUAGUUUAUUCAGAAGUGCUUCAUAGACAAACACGAGAACAUAUUCUCGUCUCAUGGACAGCGAAGUCCAACCCACAUUUUGAUACAAAACACAGUGGUGAGUUCUGUAGCUAGCGUCCGUAAUAAACCUAAGUACUCAAUGAUAAAUAGCAUCCAGCGAUUUAAGUGUUGAUGCCGUAGCAUGCAUGUAGAUAAUAUCCCCACAAUCUAUAACAGACAUAAAAGUAGCUUGCACAAUUUGUCUUCUAUUUGUACAGGACAAACAUGUCCUGUCUCUAAAGAGGAAGCCUAGCUUGAUUUUUAGCCGUUUAUAAAGUUCGUCAAUAUGCAUUUUAAAAGACAGUUCAUCAUCCAACCAUAUCCCUAAGUAUUUAUAUGCAGAGACCUGAUUCAUUCGAGAACCAUGUAAGCUCUUGUAAGUGCAAGUGUAUUUUCAACCAACUUUUUGAACCUAUUAAAAAUCAUAAAAUGUGUUUCCUUUGUUUCUUGUUUUAAAUGUACAUUUUAUUUUAACAAUUUUAAAACAAGAUGAACAGAGAACAGUUGUUACACUUUCUAUGAAGCCCAUAUAUAUAAUGCAUACACUCAAGUCAUACACUCAUAAUUACUUAAUUACUUAGUGAUUGAGUAGGCUACAUAGAUUUCAUGACUAGAAGCUCAAAAGACGAAAACGUAUUUUUUGUUGUUGUAAAUGUACAUUUGCUAUCGUAAAUGUUAGCAACAGCUCCGCAGGAUGCACGGGGGAUAUGGUCACUAGUGUAGCCAGGAGGUGAGGCCUCAUUUAACACAGUAAAUUCAUCAGGCUAAAGCCAUGUUUCAGUCAGGCCAAUCACAUCAAGAUUAUGAUCAGUUCAUUGACUAUAAUUGCCUUUGAAGUAAGGGAUCUGACAUUAAGUAGCCCUAUUUUGAGAUGUGAGGUAUCAUGAUCUCUUUCAAUAAUGACAGGAAUGGAGGAGGUCUUUAUCUUAGUGAGAUUGCUAAGGCGAACACCGCCAUGUUUAAUUUUGCCCAACCUAGGUCGAGGCACAGACACGGUCUCAAUGGAGAUAGCUGAGCUGACUACACUAACUGUGCUAGUGGCAGACUGGCUAACAGCCUUGCCUGCACCCUAUUUCAUUGUGGAGCUAGAGGAGUUAGAGCCCUGUCUAUGUUGGUAGAUAAGAUGAGAGCACCCCUCCAGCUAGGAUGGAGUCCGUCACUCCUCCGCAGGUCAGGCUUGGUCCUGUUUGUGGGUGAGUCCCAGAAAGAGGGCCAAUUAUCUACAAAUUCUAUCUUUUGGGAGGGGCAGAAACCAGUUUUCAACCAGCUAUUGAGUUGUGAGACUCUGCUGUAGAGCUCAUCACUCCCCCUAACUGGGAGGGGGCCAGAGACAAUUACUCGAUGCCGACACAUCUUUCUAGCUGAUUUACACGCUGAAGCUAUGUUGGUGGUGAUCUCUGACUGUUUCAUCCUAACAUCGUUGGUGCCGACGUGGAUAACAAUAUCUCUAUACUCGCCAGUUUUAGCUUUAGCCAGCACCAUCUUCAGAUUAGCUCUAACGUCGGUUGCCCUGCCCCCUGGUAAACAGUGUAUGAUCGCUGGAUGAUUCGUUUUAAGUCUAAUACUGCGGGUAAUGGAGUCGCCAAUGACUCGAGUUUUCAAUUUGUCAGAGCUAAUGGUGGGAUGCUUCGGCGUCUCUGACCCCGUAACGGGAGGAGUAGAGACAAGAGAAGGCUCGGCCACACCGGUUGAGCAUUCCUACAGCAUUUCCCUCCAGAAACCGUGAGAAAGUUGUCCGGCUGCGGGGACCGUGCGAGGGGAUUUAUACUAACGUUACUAUCUGUACUUACUGGUGGCACAGACGCUGUUUCAUCCUUUCCUACACUGAAAUUACCCUUGCCUAACGAUUGCGUCUGAAGCUGGGCUUGUAGCACAGCUAUCCUCACCGUAAGGCGAUCGUUCUCCUGUAUGAGUACAGCGACUGCAAUUAGAAGGCAUCAUGUUAAUGUUACUACUUAGCGUCGGCUGUUGGAGGUCCUGACGAACCAUGUCCAGAUAAAGCGUCCGGAGUAUGAGGAUUCUGUGUUAUGCACUAUAGCCCGUUACCAUAUGUGAUUUAUUAUUAUCUGCUGUUGGCAUGUGUGGAUGUAUGUGUUAUGCAACAUAGCUGACUUGAGCCAUUGUUCAGUUUCAGGGCCAUGGGCCUUUCUCAUGAUGUAAAAAUACAGAACUGUGCAAUGAGUUGGGGGGGCACAUUCAGAACAGUCUUUUGUUAGAUAACAGGAGCCAGGUGCCUGAUAACUGCAUAUUCUACACAGCUACAACGACUGACCGCUGAAGCGCUUAAGGGAAUGGGACCCGCCUCUGCGCCAACAAUCAACGAUAGGCUGGGUGAGUCUAAACCACGCCCAGUCUACUCUGACAGGCCGGCUCGGAAGCAGGAACUACUUCUGUCAGAGUAUAUUAAAUAUCUUUGUCAGGAACAAGUCAGUUCCGUUUUGCCCUGCGAGGUGGGACAGAGGGCCCAUAU